GUGACAAUGUGUUAAAAACAGGACCACAGGUGCAAUUUAGUUUCUUUUCUGAGGAUGAAUUGAAUUGCUGCUUUAACCAUAAUCCUUCAAUGACUAGAAAAGACAGAAAAAUGACUGUGUACCUGAUAGGGACCUUAUUUGCCUUUGCAUGUGCAUACUUGUGUGAGAGUUGCAUAAUAAUUGUACAAUAUGUUACAAACUUACAAUAGAAGAUGGACGUCUGACAUGUGAUGGAUUCAAGAAACUUACUCCGGGGCCAAAUAUCCGGUGGUCCCUAACACGCGCGUCGAAAUGAGACCAUUCAGCUUGUCUGAUCCUAUUUUCGCCAACCCAAAAUCAGAAACUUUGGCUCUGAAAUUUUGGUUCAAAAGAAUGUUACUGCAUUUGAAAUCACGGUGGAUGACUGAUGGGGUUGUGUAUUCAUGCAGGUAUUCAAGGGCUCUAGCACAAUCCAGUGCUAUUCUCAACCUUAUUCCCCAGUUCAAAGUCCUACCAAAUUGAGGAUUGGAAGAGUGAAGAAGCUGCUGCAGAGUUCCAGUGGGCAUGUAUUCGAAUAUUAGGAGCCUGUGAUGUUGAUCAGCACAAUAGCCAAGAAGCUCCACUAGGUAAGGUGAGUGCAAGCAGCUAAGUAAAUCCACCUGCCAAAGCAC
rnacentral:lncRNA from 1 species